CUGAGACCCAGAGCAACUUGCCUGAGGUCACACAGAACCUCUUCUUGCAAUUAUGAAACAUACUGCCUUUUGGAAAAGUGCAUGAAAUAUACAUGUAUUUUUUCACAAAUAAUGAUCCUUGUCCACUCACAACUUCCAUUCAAGAGAUAAAUGAAAUUAUAGAAGCCACCUUCCAAAAUGGCCCUAAUGAUCCUGGUCUCCUGGGAGUUUCUUUCUACAUCGAAUCAGGGAUGGUUUAUGUGACUGACUUCUGAGGCUGUCAUAAAAGGUU